rnacentral:rRNA from 1 species
AUGAGCGCGGUGAACAUCACCAACGUGGCGGUGCUGGACAACCCCACCGCCUUCCUCAACCCCUUCCAGUUCGAGAUCUCCUACGAGUGCCUCGUACCCCUCGACGACGAUCUGGAAUGGAAGCUCACAUAUGUUGGAUCAGCUGAAGAUGAAACUUAUGAUCAGCAACUUGAGAGCGUGCUUGUUGGACCUGUCAAUGUUGGGACCUACCGUUUUGUCUUCCAGGCUGACCCACCGGACCCUUUAAAGAUCCGCGAACAAGACAUCAUUGGUGUCACCGUGCUGCUAUUGACAUGCUCCUACGUGGGUCAGGAGUUCAUGAGGGUGGGUUAUUAUGUGAACAACGAUUACGAUGAGGAGCAGCUGAGAGAAGAGCCCCCAGCAAAGCUAUUGCUUGACAGGGUGCAGAGAAACAUUUUGGCCGACAAGCCCCGUGUCACCAAGUUCCCCAUCAACUUCCACCCUGAACCCGGCACGAGCGCAGAACAGCCGCAGCAGGAUGCAGAACAGCAGCAGCAGCCGACUUCACCGGAACCACAGAAGGCUCCAGUAGAGCCACAGAUGGCGCCACUAGAGAACGUCCACAUUGCUGCCGAGCAAUGA